CCUACGGGGGGCUGCAGUGAGGAAUAUUGGUCAAUGGGCUUACGCCUGAACCAGCCAAGUCGCGUGAGGGAAGACUGCCCUAUGGGUUGUAAACCUCUUUUGUCAGGGAGCAAUUGGCGCUACGUGUAGCGUUAUCGAGAGUACCUGAAGAAAAAGCAUCGGCUAACUCCGUGCCAGCAGCCGCGGUAAUACGGAGGAUGCGAGCGUUAUCCGGAUUUAUUGGGUUUAAAGGGUGCAUAGGCGGAAUGCCAAGUCAGCGGUAAAAUCGCGGGGCUCAACCUCGCUCCGCCGUUGAAACUGGCGGUCUUGAGUGGGCGAGAGGUAUGCGGAAUGCGUGGUGGAGCGGUGAAAUGCAUAGAUAUCACGCAGAACCCCGAUGGCGAAGGCAGCAUACCGGCGCCCAACUGACGCUGAAGCACGAAAGCGUGGGUAUCGAACAGGAUUAGAUACCCGAGUAGUC
rnacentral:rRNA from 1 species